CCUACGGGCGGCUGCAGUGGGGAAUAUUGGACAAUGGGGCAACCCUGAUCCAGCCAUGCCGCGUGUGUGAAGAAGGCCCUCGGGUUGUAAAGCACUUUCAGUGAGGAAGAACGCCUGGUGGUUAAUACCCAUCAGGAAAGACAUCACUCACAGAAGAAGCACCGGCUAACUCCGUGCCAGCAGCCGCGGUAAUACGGAGGGUGCGAGCGUUAAUCGGAAUUACUGGGCGUAAAGCGCGCGUAGGUGGCUUGAUAAGCCGGUUGUGAAAGCCCCGGGCUCAACCUGGGAACGGCAUCCGGAACUGUCAAGCUAGAGUGCAGGAGAGGAAGGUAGAAUUCCCGGUGUAGCGGUGAAAUGCGUAGAGAUCGGGAGGAAUACCAGUGGCGAAGGCGGCCUUCUGGACUGACACUGACACUGAGGUGCGAAAGCGUGGGUAGCAAACAGGAUUAGAUACCCUUGUAGUC
rnacentral:rRNA from 1 species